rnacentral:rRNA from 1 species
UUCGGUCCUAGUGGCGAACGGUCGCGUAACACGUAAGCAACCUGCCCUGAAGUGGGGGACAACAUCCCGAAAGGGGUGCUAAUACCGCAUGUGGUCACGAGUCGGCAUCGGCUUGUGUCUAAAGAUUUAUCGCUUCAGGAUGGGCUUGCGGCCUAUCAGGUAGUUGGUGGGGUAAUGGCCUACCAAGCCGACGACGGGUAGCUGGUCUGAGAGGACGAUCAGCCGGAUUGGGACUGAGAUACGGCCCAGACUCCUACGGGGGGCAGCAAUUAGGAAUCUUGCGCAAUGGGGGAAACCCUGACGCAGCGACGUCGCGUGAAGGAUGAAGGCCCUCGGGUCGUAAACUUCUUUUGAGUGGGAAGAAAUUUGACGGUACCACUCGAAUAAGCCCCGGCUAACUACGUGCCAGCAGCCGCGGUAAUACGUAGGGGGCGAGCGUUGUCCGAAGUUACUGGGCGUAAAGCGCGCGUAGGCGGUUAUUCAAGUCUGGGGUGAAAGGUUCAGCGCUCAACGUGAACAGUGCCUUGGAUACUGGAUGACUUGAGUCUGGAAGGGGGAAGGGGAAUUCCUGGUGUAGCGGUGAAAUGCGUAGAUAUCAGGAGGAACACCGGUGGCGAAGGCGCCUUCCUGGUCUAAGACUGACGCUGAGGUGCGAAAGCGUGGGGAGCAAACGGGAUUAGAUACCCCGGUAGUCCACGCCGUAAACGAUGAGUGCUAGGUGUCGGGGGUAUCGACCCCCCCGGUGCCGUCGCUAACGCAUUAAGCACUC